CAGCAACUGCUUAAACGAGCGGGACCUCACGGUGCCCUGUACCUGGCUCACAGUAACAUUUUCUCAGCUAAAUUUUACUGUAAAAAC